CACGUAGGGCGCGAGCGUUGUCCGGAAUUAUUGGGCGUAAAGAGCUCGUAGGCGGCCUGUUGCGUCCGCUGUGAAAGCCCGGGGCUUAACCCCGGGUCGGCAGUGGAUACGGGCAGGCUAGAGGUAGGUAGGGGAGAAUGGAAUUCCCGGUGUAGCGGUGAAAUGCGCAGAUAUCGGGAGGAACACCGGUGGCGAAGGCGGCCAUCUGGGACAACACUGACGCUGAAGCACGAAAGCGUGGGGAGCAACAGG
rnacentral:rRNA from 1 species